rnacentral:tRNA from 1 species
GGAGAGGUGGCAGAGUCCGGUUGAUCGCGGCGGUCUCGAAAACCGUUGUGCCCUUUAGGGGGCACCGGGAGUUCGAAUCUCCCCCUCUCCG